rnacentral:rRNA from 1 species
CCUACGGGGGGCAGCAGUGGGGAAUAUUGCUCAAUGGGGGAAACCCUGAAGCAGCAACGCCGCGUGGAGGAUGAAGGUUUUCGGAUUGUAAACUCCUUUUGUUAGAGAAGAUAAUGACGGUAUCUAACGAAUAAGCACCGGCUAACUCCGUGCCAGCAGCCGCGGUAAUACGGAGGGUGCAGCCGUUACUCGGAAUCACUGGGCGUAAAGAGCGCGGAGGCGGGAUAGCGAGGCAGAUGUGAAAUCCUCUGGCUUAACCAGAGAACUGCAUUUGAAACUGUUAUGCUAGAGUAUGGGAGAGGAAGGUGGAAUUCUUGGUGUAGGGGUAAAAUGCGUAGAUAUCAAGAGGAAUACUCGUUGCGAAGGCGACCUGCUAGAACGUAACUGACGCUGAUGCGCGAAAGCGUGGGGAGCAAACAGGAUUAGAUACCCUAGUAGUC